rnacentral:rRNA from 1 species
GACGAACGCUGGCGGCGUGCUUAACACAUGCAAGUCGAACGGCAAGACGCUGUCGGGGGUCCACGAGUGGCGAACGGGGGAGUAACACGUGAGUAACCUUCCCACAACUUUGGGAUAACGCUAGCAAACUGGAGCCAAAACUGGAAAUGGGCUCCUGCUUGAUGGUGGGGGUUGGAAAGCUCCGGCGGGUUUGGAUGGGCCGGCGGCCUAUCGGCUUGUUGGUGGGGUAGUGGCCUACCAAGGCGGCGACGGGUGGCCGGCCUGGGAGGGUGACCGGCCACAUUGGGACUGAGGGACGGCACAGGCAGCGACGGGAGGCAACAGGGGGGAAUCUUGCCCAAUCAGCGCCAGGCUGGUGCAGAAGCGCUGCGGGUGGGAAGACGGUCUUAGUGGUGUAAAACGCCUUUGGCAGGAACGAGGCUCUUUGUGACGGUACCUAAAGAAAAAGCCCCGGCUAACUACGUG